GUGUAUGGCCAUGCUACCCUGAACAAGCCCGAUCCCGGAAGCUAAGCAGGGUCGGGCCUGGUUAGUACUUGAAUGGAAGACCACCUAGGAAUACUAGGUGCUGUAGGCA
rnacentral:rRNA from 1 species